GGGCCCGCACAAGCGGUGGAGUAUGUGGUUUAAUUCGAUGCAACGCGAAGAACCUUACCAGGGUUUGACAUCCUGCGAAUCUCUUGGAAACAGGAGAGUGCCUUCGGGAACGCAGUGACAGGUGGUGCAUGGCUGUCGUCAGCUCGUGCCGUGAGGUGUCAGGUUAAGUCCUAUAACGAGCGCAACCCCUAUCGUUAGUUGCCAUCAAGUAAAGUUGGGAACUCUAGCGAAACUGCCGGUGCAAACCGAGAGGAAGGUGGGGAUGACGUCAAAUCAUCACGGCCCUUACGUUCUGGGCUACACACGUGCUACAAUGGUCGGUACAGAAAGCAGCCACUAUGCGAAUAGGAG
rnacentral:rRNA from 1 species